CGCGUAGGUGGUAGUGCAAGUCUGAGGUGGAAUCCUAUGGCUUAACCAUAGAACUGCCUUGGAGACUGCAUUACUUGAGUCAGUGAGGGGAGGGUAGAAUUCCUGGUGUAGCGGUGAAAUGCGUAGAUAUCAGGAGGAAGGCCGGUGGCGAAGGCGGCCCUCUGGCGCUGAACUGACACUGAGGCGCGAAAGCGUGGGGAGCAAACAGGAUUAGAUACCCUGGUAGUCCACGCCCUAAACGGUGGGUACCAGGUGUAGGGCUCGUAAGGGUUCUGUGCCGAAGCGAAAGCAUUAAGUACCCCGCCUGGGGAGUACGGCCGCAAGGUUGAA
rnacentral:rRNA from 1 species